CUGCUGUGACAGUUCUACCUGAGAUAUCUGGGCCAUGGUAAACUUUUGCAGGGCACUGUUUAUUCCGCUGGCUCCUCGAAUCAUCACAAAGUGGAGAGAUGGCUCCUUCUUUUGUGGUCGUUGAGUUCCUUGGUGAACAUUCAGUCGCUGUUGUCCCAACCAAAUGGACAGAAGAUGAUGGAAAGAAUACCUUCUGCUGUUGGCCAAGGCCAAAUCCUACCCACUCCAGAAUCCGGAAAGCUGAGAUUCCUGACAAACAAUUCUGGGAGAGGCUGCCAAUUCGGGUUUUCAGGAAAACAUUGACUG